AGAGUUUGAUCAUGGCUCAGAAUGAACGCUGGCGGCGUGCUUAACACAUGCAAGUCGAACGGUAACAGGAAGAAGCUUGCUUCUUUGCUGACGAGUGGCGCACGGGUGAGUAAUAUAUAGGUAAUGUGCCCCUUGGACUGGGAUAGCCACUGGAAACGGUGAUUAAUACUGGAUACUCCUUUUCUUCAUAAGAAGAAUCGGGAAAUGGAUUCCGCCAAGGGAUCGGCCUAUAUCCUAUCAGCUAGUUGGUGAGGUAAGAGCUCACCAAGGCGAUGACGGGUAGCGGGUUUGAGAGGAUGAUCCGCCACACUGGUACUGAGACACGGACCAGACUCCUACGGGAGGCAGCAGUGAGGAAUAUUGCACAAUGGGGGAAACCCUGAUGCAGCAACGCCGCGUGGAGGAUGACGCAUUUCGGUGUGUAAACUCCUUUUAUAUGUCAAGAAAAUGACGGUAGCAUAUGAAUAAGCACCGGCUAACUCCGUGCCAGCAGCCGCGGUAAUACGGAGGGUGCAAGCGUUAUUCGGAAUCACUGGGCGUAAAGGACGCGUAGGCGGGUUUGUAAGUCAGAUGUGAAAUCCUACAGCUUAACUGUAGAACUGCAUUUGAAACUACUAACCUAGAGUAUGGGAGGGGCAGAUGGAAUUAGUGGUGUAGGGGUAAAAUCCGUAGAUAUCACUAGGAAUACCGAAAGCGAAGGCGAUCUGCUGGAACAUUACUGACGCUAAGGCGUGAAAGCGUGGGGAGCAAACAGGAUUAGAUA
rnacentral:rRNA from 1 species